rnacentral:rRNA from 1 species
GUAACAAGGUUUCCGUAGGUGAACCUGCGGAAGGAUCAUUGUCGAAACCUGCCCCGCAGAACGACCCGCGAACUGGUUUCUCGAUGCAAGCCGGGGGCGGCGGGAGCGCCCGGCCCCUUGCCCCCGGCCAGCCGCGGGGAGCGGCCCGUUCGGUCCCUCCCCUCGGCUCACGAACAAAACCCCGGCGCCGGACGCGCCAAGGACCCACGAAAAAAAAGAGCACGCCCCAUCGGCCCGGGAACGGGUCGCGGGGCGCGGCAUCUUUCGCUAUGAGCGAGAAAGA